rnacentral:rRNA from 1 species
UUUAUUGGAGAGUUUGAUCCUGGCUCAGGAUGAACGCUGGCGGCGUGCCUAAUACAUGCAAGUCGAGCGAAUGGAUUAAGAGCUUGCUCUUAUGAAGUUAGCGGCGGACGGGUGAGUAACACGUGGGUAACCUGCCCAUAAGACUGGGAUAACUCCGGGAAACCGGGGCUAAUACCGGAUAACAUUUUGAACCGCAUGGUUCGAAAUUGAAAGGCGGCUUCGGCUGUCACUUAUGGAUGGACCCGCGUCGCAUUAGCUAGUUGGUG